UAAAGUGGUUAUUGUGCAUGCAAACGUUCGGCAGGUUUUCGUAUUUCGAAGCAAGUCGCGCAAGUUCGAUCAUCGCAGCCGUUUGGUCGGCGUAUUUCGUCAAAAUACGGCUGGAAGCCGACACAUCCUCGCUUGGUAAACAAGACAAGUUCCAAGGCCCGGAGUCGAUAUUAUCGCGCUCGAUAGUAGAGCAGCUCUAACGACCUGCCUACGUGAUCGUUGUCCCGUCUAUAAAAGGGUCGUGCCUCUCUAGCAUCAGUGUCUGUCUCUCGUAGCGAUUUCACGUGCGAGCGUCGUUUAUUCUCGAGCGUUGUUAGAGAACGCUGUUUUCCAGUAAUUCUUCUCUAUUUAUAUCUAUUUAUCAGUUACUGUUAAUCGGGAAUUCAUCGUUAUAAAUACCGCAAAGAGUGAGGUUAAGAGAACCGGCGCGCAAGAGACCAUCGUCCAAUCGGUGACAGUGAAUACAUGGUUCUUACUCUGCAUCGAAACAUCGGUGCCGACAUUUCGCUUGGAUUAGAGGGCGUUUGUCCUAGCAGGACGUCGGAUUUUGAGAAACAGAAGGGGGCCGCCAGGAUGUGGCUAAAGGUGCUCAGGCAAAAUAUAUCGCAUUUUGCCCGUAGGACGAAAGGUUCUGCAUCUGUAGAACAAAAAAAUGGAAACGGUAGCACGAAGAACAACAAAACGAAUAACAAUGGGAUCGAGGUGAACAGAAAUGAGGAACAAAAUGGUUCUGGCGAGCUCAAGAGCCAAGCCAAGAAGAAGCCAAAUGCACCUGGAAGUGGCCCUCUGUUGCAACAAGCAGAGAUAUCCACCAGCCAACUUGACUUCUUCAAGAUGCUCGAUGAAAAAAUUGAGAAUGGACCAGACUAUGACGAGAGUCUUGACACAACUACCAGAGCCGAACGUGUGUCAAACCUCCUCCGUCAAUGGGAGCUAGCAAGCGUGACCUGGUCGAGCGUGUCCGAUCUGAACAAUGCAUCCCCAUCGGUGAUGAAGAAUCGUAAUUCAGGAUUGAACUCAUCCCGGCAAAGUCUAAGCGCGAAAGAUAGAGAGGGAAUGAGGAACAUAGUCGGUGGUAGACCGGAGAGCGCACCAAUUUACAUGAGAAACGCAAAUCGCGUAGAUGGUCUCCAAGAGACUCACUGCCCAUCGCCAAGUAUGCCGAGGCACGUGUUAGAGUCCAUCACUCAGAGUCCAACCCAGAGCUUAAAAAACGUCACGCCGCCUGGCUCCUCUCCAACGAGCCUGCAUUAUCAAGAUAGUUAUAAGGAAUGUAACGCUAAUCAACCAUCCGCAAAGACCGUAAAGGUUCAUUAUGGUGCUCAGAAUCCUGUGAAUGGAGAAUACGUGACACAACAAGCGCUCUAUCGCGAACAGUAUUUGCAACAAACCGGGAUAAUCACGGUACCCUCUCAAUAUUCGGCCAGUUCGCCGGGUGGCAAUGUUCUUAGAAACAAUCCAUACGUGCAACAAUACCAAAUCACCAGUCCGCAACACUUUACCACCUCGAGGAAACGAGGCUUCAACGCCGCCCAAAUGACGUGACCGGAUUGGCCGUGCACUACCAAAUAAGACUGACACAACACUUACUUAUGUAGACACACUUUGCGAAUGAAGAGAGAGAGAGAGAGAGAGAGAGAGAGAGAGAGAGAGAGAGAGAGAGAGAGAGAGAGAAAGACAUAUUAUCCGUUGAACCAAUACUCCGUUCUUUGUAAUUCAUGUAAAUGAAACUUUUUCGAUGUAUAUAUAUGUUUAUAUUAUAUAUACACACAUAUAUUUUCAUUCAUCCAUGUUUCAUUUUCUUUUUUAAUCGGUAGCGUCUUUACGUACUAUUGGUAAAUGUAAAUUUCUAUAAGGGAAAAAGAAACAAAAUAAAAAAAAUAUAUAUAUAUAUAUAAAAGAACCACACACGCAAGCGCGAAUUUCGCUACAGCGUUUUGUAUAAUUGUGUAUUAGCAUAUUCCGAGAUAUAUAUACAUCGUAUGUACAUGUGUAUACAUUUAUACAUGUGUCUAAAUUGACGGAAAAAAGAGCAAAAUGUAGAAGAAAAAAAAUAACAAACGUAGGGAUCUUACUUAUAUCGUGUAUAGAUUCACUGUAUGUAUUGUAUGGAUACAUUUAACUUAAUGUAAUAAUUGUAUAUUUAUAUGUUGACCAUGUUCAAAGUUAACGAUAUAUAUAGUUGAUGAUGAGAGUUUUAUAUUUCAUGUUACAAAUAUGCUCUAUAUUGUGAAAUACACUAUUCGAAAUCGCUGCAUCAUCGUCAAACUCGGAUAAUUAUAUUUUGUUCCGUUGAGCAAUUCUUUUUUUGUUUUUUUAUAAAUAAAUUCAUAACUUUUCCCCAAGAAUUCAUGUAGAACUCAUUCGUAAGAUUUUAGUAUCUUUUGAGGAAACUCAAAAUAUAUUUUAAUAUGUAUGUUUAAACAAAUCAAGACUACUAAUUAUAUAUAAUGUGGUUUGUUUCUGUAAAACCUUAGAAACUUAUUUAUUGAGAACAUAAAAAAAAAAGAAAAAUGAAAUGUUGGUUGAUUUAUAUUGAUUUGUGUGUAAAAUGUGAAGUAAGAUUUUUAAUUCUUCAAAACUAUUGACAAGCAGUUCAUGUAUAAUCUGAUUUAACACUUGACUAACAAGAUUUCAUUGUUCUGAAACCUCUGUGCUACAAAAUCUAAAGGUAUUUAUGUUACAACAUGAAUAUCUUGUGUAUGAAAAUCUUGUUUAUAACAUAAACGUGAUGCAGUUUUAAUUUGGCUCAAGUUAAAAACUUAGAUUUAGAUAGUAGGUAUGCAUACAAAUUUUACAUUCGAUUGCAUUCAAAUACAUUCUAACUGGUAAUUUAAAAAAUUUGAUUUUACAUACUUUUUCUUUAGUAAAGGGUGUUUUCUUUAGUGAAGCGUCCUAAUUAAAUGGAAUUGCGUUUAAAUUUAUUUGAAAUGUAAUGUAAUUUCUAUAUUUUAGUUUGAAAAGUAAAAAUAUUUUGUGAAAAUUAAUUUAAAAAUCCAUAGACAUUGAGUUGCAAUUGCGAUUUAAUCCGGGAACAAUUUUAUGUGGAAUUGAUAUAUUUUAUGUACUUUCAUAAGUAGUGGUUAGUAAAUAGUACAUAAAGUAUGUGACUAAAACCAAUAUUGAAAAAUACAAAAUAAGAAGCUUAACUUUCUUAAUUGUAUUAUCAUUGACUAAGGACAGAAUACACCUACAUAACAUACAUUGCUUUUGUGUUCUCUAUGUUUUGGAUUGUUUUUUGUGCCCUAUCUGAUCCCUUUACUAUUGGUUACAAAGUAUAUAUGACCUUACAUUUUAUAGGCUUUCGCAUCAUCAUUGUGCUUUGAAAUCGACAUGGUAAAAGAUCAUUGGCUACUUAGAGCAUUCUAUGCUUAAAAGAUGGUGAAACUAGACCAAGCAAAACGAUUGUUGAUUAAAUAGUGAAUGCAUCAUAGCAUUGACUAAUUAAGAUAAAUCGAAUAUCUAAAUGUUUUUCAUGUCCCACUAUAUCUCAGAUUUUGGAAGUCACCUGACCUUAACAUUUUCGUGUCACAUUUUGUCGUAUCGAUUUAAGCAGACAUUGCAUUGUAGCGCUACUGGCGAUAGGAAUUACAAUUAAAAUAAAAAAGUAUGAACAGUGUAA